rnacentral:rRNA from 1 species
AUUGAACGCUGGCGGCAGGCCUAACACAUGCAAGUCGAACGGUAACAGGAAGACGCUUGCUUCUUUGCUGACGAGUGGCGGACGGGUGAGUAAUGUCUGGGAAACUGCCUGAUGGAGGGGGAUAACUACUGGAAACGGUAGCUAAUACCGCAUAACGUCGCAAGACCAAAGAGGGGGACCUUCGGGCCUCUUGCCAUCGGAUGUGCCCAGAUGGGAUUAGCUAGUAGGUGGGGUAACGGCUCACCUAGGCGACGAUCCCUAGCUGGUCUGAGAGGAUGACCAGCCACACUGGAACUGAGACACGGUCCAGACUCCUACAGGAGGCAGCAGUGGGGAAUAUUGCACAAUGGGCGCAAGCCUGAUGCAGCCAUGCCGCGUGUAUGAAGAAGGCCUUCGGGUUGUAAAGUACUUUCAGCGGGGAGGAAGGGAGUAAAGUUAAUACCUUUGCUCAUUGACGUUACCCGCAGAAGAAGCACCGGCUAACUCCGUG